CCUACGGGCGGCAGCAGUGAGGAAUAUUGGUCAAUGGGCGAGAGCCUGAACCAGCCAAGUAGCGUGAAGGAUGACGGCCCUACGGGUUGUAAACUUCUUUUAUAAAGGAAUAAAGUGAGGCACGUGUGCCGUUUUGUAUGUACUUUAUGAAUAAGGAUCGGCUAACUCCGUGCCAGCAGCCGCGGUAAUACGGAGGAUCCGAGCGUUAUCCGGAUUUAUUGGGUUUAAAGGGAGCGUCGUUGGGUUGGUAAGUCAGUGGUGAAAGUUUGCGGCUCAACCGUAAACUGGCCAUUGAUACUGGCAGCCUUGAUUACAGUUGAGGUAGGCGGAAUUCGUGGUGUAGCGGUGACAUGCUUAGAUAUCACGCAGAACUCCGAUUGCGAAGGCAGCUUACUAACCUGCCACUGACAUUCAUGCUCGAAAGUGUGGGUAUCAAACAGGAUUAGAUACCCGGGUAGUC
rnacentral:rRNA from 1 species